rnacentral:rRNA from 1 species
AUUGAACGCUGGCGGCAUGCCUUACACAUGCAAGUCGAACGGCAGCGCGGGAGCAAUCCUGGCGGCGAGUGGCGAACGGGUGAGUAAUAUAUCGGAACGUGCCCAGUAGUGGGGGAUAGCCCGGCGAAAGCCGGAUUAAUACCGCAUGAGACCUGAGGGUGAAAGCGGGGGAUCGCAAGACCUCGCGCUAUUGGAGCGGCCGAUAUCAGAUUAGCUAGUUGGUGGGGUAAAGGCCUACCAAGGCAACGAUCUGUAGUUGGUCUGAGAGGACGACCAGCCACACUGGGACUGAGACACGGUCCAGACUCCUACGGGAGGCAGCAGUGGGGAAUUUUGGACAAUGGGCGCAAGCCUGAUCCAGCAAUGCCGCGUGCAGGAUGAAGGC